UAAUAAAGGCAGUUGGUAGUCCUGG
rnacentral:piRNA from 1 species